rnacentral:rRNA from 1 species
UACGAAGGGGGCUAGCGUUGUUCGGAAUUACUGGGCGUAAAGCGCGCGCAGGCGGUUCUACAAGUCAGUGGUGAAAGCCCGGAGCUCAACUCCGGAACUGCCAUUGAAACUGCAGAACUUGAGGAUGAGAGAGGUGAGUGGAAUUCCCAGUGUAGAGGUGAAAUUCGUAGAUAUUGGGAAGAACACCAGUGGCGAAGGCGACUUACUGGACACAUAUUGACGCUGAGGUGCGAAAGCGUGGGGAGCAAACAGG